AGAACGAACGCUGGCGGCAGGCUUGACACAUGCAAGUCGAACGCAUCUCUUCGGAGAUGAGUGGCAGACGGGUGAGUAACGCGUGGGAACGUACCCUUUGGUUCGGGAUAACCCGGGGAAACUCGGGCUAAUACCGGAUAAGCCGGAAACGGGAAAGGUUUACUGCCGAAGGAUCGGCCCGCGUCGGAUUAGCUAGUUGGUGUGGUAACGGCGCACCAAGGCGACGAUCCGUAGCUGGUCUGAGAGGAUGAUCAGUCACACUGGGACUGAGACACGGCCCAGACUCCGUACGGGAGGCAGCAGUGGGGAAUAUUGGACAAUGGGCGCAAGCCUGACUCCAGCCAUGCCGCGUGAGUGAAGAAGGCCCGUAGGGUUAGUAAAGCUCUUUCGAGGCGGGAACGAUAAUGGAACCGGUACCCGACGAAGGAAAGAACCGGCCCCGGAC
rnacentral:rRNA from 1 species